UGGGGAAUAUUGGACAAUGGGCGCAAGCCUGAUCCAGCCAUGCCGCGUGGGUGAAGAAGGCCUUCGGGUUGUAAAGCCCUUUUGUUGGGAAAGAAAAGCAGCCGGCCAAUACCCGGUUGUUCUGACGGUACCCAAAGAAUAAGCACCGGCUAACUUCGUGCCAGCAGCCGCGGUAAUACGAAGGGUGCAAGCGUUACUCGGAAUUACUGGGCGUAAAGCGUGCGUAGGUGGUGGUUUAAGUCCGUUGUGAAAGCCCUGGGCUCAACCUGGGAACUGCAGUGGAUACUGGAUCACUAGAGUGUGGCAGAGGGUAGUGGAAUUCCCGGUGUAGCAGUGAAAUGCGUAGAGAUCGGGAGGAACAUCAGUGGCGAAGGCGACUGCCUGGGCCAACACUGACACUGAGGCACGAAAGCGUGGGGAGCAAACAGGAUUAGAUACCCCCGUAGUCC
rnacentral:rRNA from 1 species